rfam:Cricetulus griseus cell line CHO-K1, whole genome shotgun sequence.
GUCUCUGGUACAAUCGGUUAGCGCGUUCGGCUGUUAACUGAAAGGUUGAUGGUUCGAGCUCACCCAGGGACA